GCAAUGCGAUAAGUAGUGUGAAUUGCAGAAUUCAGUGAAUCAUCGAAUCUUUGAACGCACAUUGCGCCCUUUGGUAUUCCAAAGGGCAUGCCUGUUCGAGCGUCAUUUGUACCCUCAAGCUUUGCUUGGUGUUGGGCGUCUUGUCUCUAGCUUUGCUGGAGACUCGCCUUAAAGUAAUUGGCAGCCGGCCUACUGGUUUCGGAGCGCAGCACAAGUCGCACUCUCUAUCAGCAAAGGUCUAGCAUCCAUUAAGCCUUUUUUUCAACUUUUGACCUCGGAUCAGGUAGGGAUACCCGCUGAACUUAAGC
rnacentral:misc_RNA from 1 species